CGAACGGGUGAGUAACACGUGGGCAACCUGCCCAAAAGAGGGGGAUAACACUUGGAAACAGGUGCUAAUACCGCAUAACCAUAGUUACCGCAUGGUAACUAUGUAAAAGGUGGCUAUGCUACCGCUUUUGGAUGGGCCCGCGGCGCAUUAGCUAGUUGGUGGGGUAAAGGCUUACCAAGGCAAUGAUGCGUAGCCGAACUGAGAGGUUGAUCGGCCACAUUGGACUGAGACACGGCCCAAACUCCUACGGAAGGCAGCAG
rnacentral:rRNA from 1 species